rnacentral:rRNA from 1 species
AGUGGCGGACGGGUGAGUAACGCGUGAGAAUCUGCCUUGGGGUCGGGGACAACCACUGGAAACGGUGGCUAAUACCGGAUAAGCCGAUUGGUGAAAGAUUUAUUGCCCGAAGAGAGCUCGCGUCUGAUUAGCUAGUUGGUGAGGUAAGAGCUCACCAAGGCAGCGAUCAGUAGCUGGUCUGAGAGGACGAUCAGCCACACUGGGACUGAGACACGGCCCAGACUCCUACGGGAGGCAGCAGUGGGGAAUUUUCCGCAAUGGGCGAAAGCCUGACGGAGCAAGACCGCGUGAGGGAGGAAGGCUCUUGGGUUGUAAACCUCUUUUCUCAGGGAAGAAGCUCUGACGGUACCUGAGGAAUCAGCCUCGGCUAACUCCGUGCCAGCAGCCGCGGUAAUACUGAGGAGGCAAGCGUUAUCCGGAAUUAUUGGGCGUAAAGCGUCCGCAGGUGGCGAUUCAAGUCUGCUGUCAAAGCACGGGGCUUAACUCCGUAAAGGCAGUGGAAACUGAAUAGCUAGAGUGCCGUAGGGGUAGAGGGAAUUCCCGGUGUAGCGGUGAAAUGCGUAGAGAUCGGGAAGAACAUCGGUGGCGAAAGCGCUCUACUGGACGGCAACUGACACUCAGGGACGAAAGCUAGGGGAGCGAAUGGGAUUAGAUACCCC